UACGGAGGGGGCAAGCGUUGUUCGGAAUCAUUGGGCGUAAAGGGCGCGUAGGUGGUUCUGUAUGUCUACCGUGAAAGCAUACAGCUCAACUGUAUUUUGUCGGUAGAAACUGCAGGACUUGAGGCUGGGAGGGGCUGGUGGAAUUCCCUGUGUAGCGGUGAAAUGCGUAGAGAUGGGGGAGAACACUCGUGGCGAAGGCGGCCAGCUAGACCAGUUCUGACACUGAGGCGCGACAGCGUGGGGAGCAAACAGG
rnacentral:rRNA from 1 species